GGGAGGAUACAGAAAAAAUGCAGCUAUCUGCAAGACAGGGAGAGGGUUCUCAUCAGAACCAGACCAUGCUGGCAUCCUGAUCUCACACUUGUAGCCUCUAAAACCGUGAGAAAGAAAUUGCUGUGAGAAUAUUCAGCUGGCACACUGGUACCAUACCAGUUAUUAAAAUAGGGAAAUACUUCCAUACUGGUUGGUAAAUAGUGGGUGUCCUGAGACCUCCAGGAGCCCCCUCUCCCAACUCCUGACAUAACCACCCUCAGGACCUUCAUGCAAUAACUUGAGGGUCAAUAUUUGGUGUGGCAGAGACCUUCAGUUCUCCAUCCAUCCAUUCCAGUGCAGUCUGAUCUGAAAGUGCUCUUUUCGCUAUCUGCUGCCUCCUCGGAGAAAUGCCCUAAGCUCAGCAUGCCAAGAUGUCAUAGAAUUAAAGAGAGUUAGAGAUGGAAGAAAUCCUGGACAUCUAGCCCACACACUGAGAACUCCCUUGCUGCCCAUGAUUCCAGAUGCACUCUCAGCAUUGUCUACAGCCUGGGUCAUAGAUUGCCCAGGCAACAUCCCUCUCCCAUCUUCUAACAGAGACUUGUGCUCUUAGAUAAUGUGCUGCAUUCUUCAACCUCCU